CGGCGAGUGAAGCGGGAAGAGCUCAAAUUUAAAAUCUGUAAGGUUCAACCUUGCCGAGUUGUAGUUUGAAGAAGUGUUUUCCGCGGCGGCUGCAGUACAAAUCCUUUGGAACAGGGUAUCAGAGAGGGUGAGAAUCCCGUCUUUGACUGCAGACUAGUUGCACUGUGAUACACUUUCUAAGAGUCGAGUUGUUUGGGAAUGCAGCUCAAAAUGGGUGGUAAAUUUCAUCUAAAGCUAAAUAUUGGCAAGAGACCGAUAGCGAACAAGUACCGUGAGGGAAAGAUGAAAAGAACUUUGAAAAGAGAGUUAAAUAGUACGUGAAAUUGUUAAAAGGGAAACGCUUGAAGUCAGUGUUGCCGGCGGAAAAUCAGCUUCGUGCGGACGGCUUGUCGCGGUGGAGGGAGUGUCAAAGCCCCUUGCCGCGGGACAGCCGGGCGGAUGGAGUGCACUUUUCAGUCGGCAGGUCAACAUCAAUUUCAGCCGGUGGAAAAAUACAAGUGGAACGUAGGUUGGAGCAAUCCGACUGUUAUAGCCACUCGUGGAUACACCGGCGGGGAUUGAGGACAGCAGUGCAGGCCACUACGGCGGAAGCGCUUCUCUUUUCACGGGGGGGCACACCAAGACAGCAAGCUGACUUGGCGUGUACACCGCUGGGAACGGAGGGGCUGACUUCUCCUGCACUAAGGAUGUUGACGAAAUGGCUUUAAACGACCCGUCUUGAAACACGGACCAAGGAGUCUAACAAAUAUGCGAGUAUUUGGGUGGCAAACCCAUAUGCGCAAUGAAAGUGAAUGUAGGUGGGAUCCCGGUUACGGGAGCACCAUCGACCGAUCUGGAAUAAUUUACGAUAGAUUUGAGUAAGAGCAUAUCUGUUGGGACCCGAAAGAUGGUGAACUAUGCCUGAAUAGGGUGAAGCCAGAGGAAACUCUGGUGGAGGCUCGUAGCGAUUCUGACGUGCAAAUCGAUCGUCAAAUUUGGGU
rnacentral:rRNA from 1 species